rnacentral:rRNA from 1 species
UAUAACCGGCGAUUUCCGAAUGGGGAAACCCAGUGUGAUUCGUCACACUAUCAUUAACUGAAUCCAUAGGUUAAUGAGGCGAACCGGGGGAACUGAAACAUCUAAGUACCCCGAGGAAAAGAAAUCAACCGAGAUUCCCCCAGUAGCGGCGAGCGAACGGGGAGCAGCCCAGAGCCUGAAUCAGUGUGUGUGUUAGUGGAAGCGUCUGGAAAGGCGCGCGAUACAGGGUGACAGCCCCGUACACAAAAAUGCACAUGCUGUGAGCUCGAUGAGUAGGGCGGGACACGUGGUAUCCUGUCUGAAUAUGGGGGGACCAUCCUCCAAGGCUAAAUACUCCUGACUGACCGAUAGUGAACCAGUACCGUGAGGGAAAGGCGAAAAGAACCCCGGCGAGGGGAGUGAAAAAGAACCUGAAACCGUGUACGUACAAGCAGUGGGAGCACGCUUAGGCGUGUGACUGCGUACCUUUUGUAUAAUGGGUCAGCGACUUAUAUUCUGUAGCAAGGUUAACCGAAUAGGGGAGCCGAAGGGAAACCGAGUCUUAACUGGGCGUUAAGUUGCAGGGUAUAGACCCGAAACCCGGUGAUCUAGCCAUGGGCAGGUUGAAGGUUGGGUAACACUAACUGGAGGACCGAACCGACUAAUGUUGAAAAAUUAGCGGAUGACUUGUGGCUGGGGGUGAAAGGCCAAUCAAACCGGGAGAUAGCUGGUUCUCCCCGAAAGCUAUUUAGGUAGCGCCUCGUGAAUUCAUCUCCGGGGGUAGAGCACUGUUUCGGCAAGGGGGUCAUCCCGACUUACCAACCCGAUGCAAACUGCGAAUACCGGAGAAUGUUAUCACGGGAGACACACGGCGGGUGCUAACGUCCGUCGUGAAGAGGGAAACAACCCAGACCGCCAGCUAAGGUCCCAAAGUCAUGGUUAAGUGGGAAACGAUGUGGGAAGGCCCAGACAGCCAGGAUGUUGGCUUAGAAGCAGCCAUCAUUUAAAGAAAGCGUAAUAGCUCACUGGUCGAGUCGGCCUGCGCGGAAGAUGUAACGGGGCUAAACCAUGCACCGAAGCUGCGGCAGCGACGCUUAUGCGUUGUUGGGUAGGGGAGCGUUCUGUAAGCCUGUGAAGGUGUACUGUGAGGUAUGCUGGAGGUAUCAGAAGUGCGAAUGCUGACAUAAGUAACGAUAAAGCGGGUGAAAAGCCCGCUCGCCGGAAGACCAAGGGUUCCUGUCCAACGUUAAUCGGGGCAGGGUGAGUCGACCCCUAAGGCGAGGCCGAAAGGCGUAGUCGAUGGGAAACAGGUUAAUAUUCCUGUACUUGGUGUUACUGCGAAGGGGGGACGGAGAAGGCUAUGUUGGCCGGGCGACGGUUGUCCCGGUUUAAGCGUGUAGGCUGGUUUUCCAGGCAAAUCCGGAAAAUCAAGGCUGAGGCGUGAUGACGAGGCACUACGGUGCUGAAGCAACAAAUGCCCUGCUUCCAGGAAAAGCCUCUAAGCAUCAGGUAACAUCAAAUCGUACCCCAAACCGACACAGGUGGUCAGGUAGAGAAUACCAAGGCGCUUGAGAGAACUCGGGUGAAGGAACUAGGCAAAAUGGUGCCGUAACUUCGGGAGAAGGCACGCUGAUAUGUAGGUGAAGUCCCUCGCGGAUGGAGCUGAAAUCAGUCGAAGAUACCAGCUGGCUGCAACUGUUUAUUAAAAACACAGCACUGUGCAAACACGAAAGUGGACGUAUACGGUGUGACGCCUGCCCGGUGC